rnacentral:rRNA from 1 species
GAUGAACGCUGACAGAAUGCUUAACACAUGCAAGUCGAUGGGGAAGUGGUGCUUGCACCAUGGUAACCAUGGCGGACGGGUGAGUAACGCGUAAGGAACUUGCCUGCGGGACUGGGAUAACAGCAGGAAACGGCUGAUAAUACCGGAUAAGGUCAUUAAGCUGCAUAGCUUAGUGAUGAAAGGAGACGCCUGCGGAGAGCCUUGCGUCCUAUUAGCUAGUUGGAGGGGUAACGGCCCACCAAGGCGAAGAUAGGUAGCCGGCCUGAGAGGGUGGACGGCCACAAGGGGACUGCGGUACGGCCCUUACUCCUACGGGAGGCAGCAGUGGGGAAUAUUGGACAAUGGGGGCAACCCUGAUCCAGCAAUUCUGUGUGCACGAAGACGGUUUUCGGAUUGUAAAGUGCUUUCAGCAGGGAAGAAGGAAGUGACGGUACCUGCAGAAGAAGCGACGGCUAACUACGUG